CUGUGGAAGGGGUGGGGCUGGGGCCAAGCAUGGGGGUGCCAGGCAGCGGUGCAGUAUGCAGAGGGCGAGGUAUGGGUUGGUCACUAGCAGUGGGGCUGACCUCAGCAGUGAGGACGAGGAGUGAGCAGUGGACAAAGAUGGCACUGGACGUGGGAAUGGAGGGGAGGGGGCAGAUGGCAAUCUGUGGGGAGCAGAGGGUUAGGACCGAGGGGUGGUGGAAGAGAGAGCUGGAAAGGAGGGUGGCUGCCAGACUGGGGAGAGCUCUGACUGCUGGCUGGUCUGUGACAUCUGGACGCCAUCUUAGGGAUUCAGCAUCUGCGUGGGACGUGCCCUAGGAGUGACUUUGCUUUUGAGGAUGCCAAUUUCAAAUGCCCCUCUUGCUGAGUGGGGGUGCAGUUCUGAGCCAGAUUUAGGGAGGAAAUAUUCAGACGCCUAAGAAUAUAUAUGCGUGAAACACGUGGAGGCAGCACGUUCUAAGGUGUCAGUCUCUUGGUUUUGCUUUGAUCUUCACGGCUUAUAAGAGAUUUGAGGGUCAGCCACAGACUGCAUCGCCCUCAGGGUACAUCGAGGGCUGCUAGCAAGAAUCUUAUUUCCAUUGUUUCCAUUUUCAUUGCCUUAUAAUUUCUCAUAUUAUAUUAAUUAUUUUAGCCUGAGAUUGUGGGCUGCAGGAAUGAUGUUAAGUGUUCCUGGCUGGCAACAUUUCCUGAAUUUCUUUCUGAGCUUGAACCUAUUCAAAAUUCUUGCUUCCUGGGGCAUGGAGCUUCGGGUUCCUCCCCUUGUGAUGGAUGAGAGGGGUUGGGGUAUCCCUUCUAGACAUUCAUAGUCUUUGUCAGGAUUUUUCACUGCUGUCUUAUUGUCUUAGACAUUCAUGUGACCUCUUACACUGAUUAAUUUCUUUAUGUGUAUGAGCUCCUCCUCCCCCACCCCUCCCCCACCAAAAAAAAAGACUGCGAGAACCUCUUAGCCAAGGUCUGAGUCUUUUUGUCAGGUGGUUUUGCUUUUGUGUAACAUCUAGCGUAGUAUUCCACAUGCAUUAUCUGUUGGGGGUUGAGAAACAGGGUUGGUGGUGGUGGGCAGCUGGAACCCAUCUGCUCCCAUGUUUCACCCUGGAACUGGGUUUUAUAGAGGAUGGUCCAGAGCAGAUGUUUGCUAAUCGAAGCCUCAUUCACUGAUAGCAUCGGUUUCAGCUAGGAGCUUGUUGAAGACAGAGUUGCAUGCCUUAGACCUCAGAGUCUGUAAUUUUUUUUGUUUUUAGUUUUUUUGGGGGGGAUAUACAUAUAGAGCAUGUAAGUGGGGGAGAGGGGCAGAGGGAGGGAGGGAGGGAGAGAGAGAGAGAGAGAGAGAGAGAGAGGGAGAGAGAAUCUUAAGCAGGCUCCACGCUCCGUGCAGAGCCCAAUGAGGGGCUCAGUCCCAUGAUCCUGGGAUUGUGACCUGAGCCAAAAUCAAGAGUCGGAUGCUCAGCUGACUGAGCCCCCUGGGCACCCCGUAAUUUGAUCGGUGUUUGAGACACACUGGUCCCCAGAUGUAAUGUGUACAAAGCACCUGAGGAUUGUGUUAACAUGCAGCUUCUGAUAUUAUUUUAGGUUCCUUAGGUAAUAGUAGACAAGUAGACCUCAAAGUUUUCUCAUACCAAAGCAGCAACUUCCUUCCUAAGGGUGUCAGUGAACAUCAUUCGCUCCUCAAACUGAUACUCCUGCACAGAACACAGGGUUUUUGUCAGGGUUUGGCACACGACGGCCUGUGGUCGAAAUCCAGCCUGCUGCCUGUUUUUGUAAAUAAAGUUUUAUUAGCACACAGCUCUGCUCAUUUAUUUGCCUAGUGCCGAUGGCUUCUUUUGUGCUACAUAGGACAAGGUGAAUAGUUAUGACAGAGACCUUAUGGCCCACAAAGCCUAAAAUACUUACUAUCUGGGCCUUUACAGAAAAUUUUAAAAAAGUUUGCCGGUAGUGGCUGAUGAGAUGAACCCAAAAUAUUUCCUUGAGGUAAAGGAAAUAGUUGUAGUCUUUUGCCCCAGUGGCAAAAUUUGCAAGCCCGUCUUAAUCUAUCAUGGAGAAGCUAAAUCGUAAAACAAUUCCCUAGUGGGCAAUGAAGUGUCUUGAGCCCCAAAUCGAUCCAGAUAUCAGUACCAAGGAGUCUGUGACUUUCCAAGGCCCAUUUUAUAACAACCUCCUCUAAAGAAAUGAUUGUAAUUUUAUUGAGCUGACUCCUUCUUCCACAAAUCGAUUCCAUGAACUGUUCAAAGUGAGUUUUGACUUUCCCCAAGAACUGGGAGGAUCCAAGAGGAAAUCCUGAGGAGAAAUGUCCGGGACCAAGGAAUCAAACAGCCUGGAAAGGGUUGGGUAGAAUCUCCUGAAACAGUAGCCUCAGCCCAGCCCACCUCUGGGAUGUUCCCUGGGCAGCCAGACUCAGACAGUGUGGGCUCGGAGUCCUUCUUUCCAUUCCCUGGGAGAAUCCCACCACCUGUCUCUUAUUUGGGGUUUGUGAAUUGUGAAAUGAUGGCACACUCCGGCUCCAGGCUUGCUGCGUGUAUGCCAAGCAUACAGAGACGGAAGACAGAGGCUGGGGCCAAGGAGCAGGAAGUACAGAAAGGGGGGCUGCUGGCCCGAGGCAUCUGCUCUGCAAACACAGUGGAGCAGGGGGGUUGUGGGCGGAGAGAAGGCAGCCCCAUGUAAUCGCUCGAGGAUGUGGGCGCGCAGCUCUGAUCCCCUGGCUCUCCUUCCAGAACCAAAUUUCAGAGGAGAUGGGUAUAGGAGAAUUAGGAUCCCUUUUCCUUGUCCAGGGGUUUUCCGGGGCCAGCGUGAUUUAGCGUGGGAUUCUAUGGGAUUCUUUGCUGUAGCCCUUGGAGCUCUACGCUUCCUUUGUUUCUUUUCCCAUUGUCUGCAUAGCCCGGGACACUAGCAGGGUUUUUUUGAGGAGGUGUAGACAAGAGUGAGGAGUCCCCUCUCAAUUCCAGACUUUAUUUUACCUCCAAACUAUUCUGAGAGGUUGUAGGAGUGAAUUGGCGCCUCCUGUAUUGUUAUUUCUUCUUUCAUCCAGAGGGUGGAUAUCCAUUGAAAGCCUACCAUGUAACAGGAUGGUGGGAAAAGCAUGAACUGGAGAGUCAGACAAACCUGGGUGCAAAUUCUGGUUUCUCCACUGUAAGCCCCCCACUCCCCACUCCCGUUCCAGUUGGCAGGUUUCCUCCUUCCUCACCCCACUUUCCCCACAUCUCUCUGAAUCUUCGGUCGGGCCGGAAGAUCCCUUCUCUUUGUGUUUGUUGUAGCCCCAUAGUCUGGCUGCGUACAGUAUGAUCGGGAAAUCAUCUGUUCAGGUGUCAGCCUCUCUCCCCACAUUUUAAAGUCAUCCAUGGCAGGGAUCUCUGUUAAUAGUUUUUACCCUUAGCUCCCGAUACACCUGGAUAUUAUGGUGAUUCUGCUAAAUGGAUCAGUUGGGAUUUGGUAGAUGACAAGUACUGGAGAAUCAUGAAAGUACCUGGAGACGUCCUAGUCCACUUUUCCUGAAGUGAAUGGUUGAGGGGGUUGGGGGGAGGUUGGAUCUGGAGACCCAGGCUUGUGAGGCACAGCUUGGGUGGAUGAGUUGACAAUGGACAAGCAGCUCUGUGUCUCCCCCGGAACAUUAUACGCUCACAGCAGUGGGGGCAUGUCUUAUUUGUUUCUGUGUCCCUUUAUAUUCUUAAGUACAACCAAGAAAGUGAGUAAUUAGACAGUUGGAUUUUGAUGGACAGUACAAGACCAAAAUCUUCCACCCAUCAAAUCUCCCCAUGUUCGUGACGUGCAUCUAUCUUGUCUUGAGAGCCUGGAGAGUGGAACCAUUAUGUAAAAAACAUAGAUUUGGGGAGAAGAGAGUAAAUUCAGUUUGAAACACGUCGAGUGUGAGAUCUGCCUGUCACACACGCAGGACUGGAGAGCUGGAAGGAGGUGGGGGCUGGAGCCUUGUGACGUUUCACAUGUCUGGGUUAGUUCCCCAAACUAGACCCAGAGCUCAUGGUAUAGCCUCUGUGGCACUUAAUGUGUACCCAUUAAAAAGGACCUGGUGCAUAUUUACUUGUCCACUCUAAGAUAUGGGGCUUCCCACGUAAUAAAGAUCUGCUGCAGAUGCUUGAGCAGAGCUAUAAGACGAUAUAAAUUUUGCCCCAGGAAGACUCGAUUUUGCUGCAGUGUACAAGAAAGAUUGUAAGGGAAGGAGGCAGAGGUGGGGAAGCUUGUUAGGAGGCCAGCAAAAGGGCAGGUGGGCAGUGAAGGAGUCUGAGCAGAGCUGUACCAGGAGGAAAAGAGAAGAGGGGGGUUCUGACUAUGCAAGAGACUGGUGACUUGGCUGGCUCCAUAGCAUCAGCCCUAGCAAGUCUCCUUGCUCUGGGAGGAGGAAGGACCAGCUAUGUGUGGCUUUGGAAUGAGAGCCAGCGACUGCAUCCAGAGGGAGAUGAUGAGAAACACACAGGCCAUGAAGAUCAGGAAAGCACCAUUAAUCUUUUCAUUGCAAACUACUCUCCAGAGCCCUGGGAGAGGGUGCAGAAGCCUGUGUGUGCGGACUCGGGCCCUUUACUAGGAAAUACAAGAUGGAAUCCCCCUUAAUAAGCACAGAAGAGACAACAUCCUGGAAUCGGAGAGGCUGGGAGAGGAUGGGGUGGGGUGGGUAGUGAGGAAAGGGAGGGGCGGAGCACUGGUCAGAAGACAGGGGAAAGGAAAAGUGGUCCGGGGUGAGUAGACCUUGAAUUUCAUAGAAGCUGUAUUUCUCUCCCCACCCCCCACCCCCAGUCUAAUUUUAUGGAGAAUUUUUUCCUCAAAUAUGAAAUUAAAAAAAUUUUUUUCCAGUUUAUUUAUUUUGAGAGAGAGAGAGACAGCACAAGUGGGGUAGGGGCAGAGAGAGGGAGAGAGAAUUCCAAGCAGCACAGAGCCCAGCAUGGGGCUUCAAGUCAUGAUCUCAUGGUUCAUGGGUUCGAGCCCUGCAUUGGGCGCUGUGCUGACAGCUCGGAGCCUGCUUGGGAUUCUGUCUCACUCUCUCUCUGCCCUUCUCUGCUCACUCUCUCUCUCUCUCUCUCUC